CCCUCUGAAACUGGUUUAUAAAUGGACGU
rnacentral:piRNA from 1 species